rnacentral:rRNA from 1 species
AUGAACGCUGGCGGCGUGCCUAAUACCUGCAAGUCGAGCGAACAGAUGAGGAGCUUGCUCCUCUGACGUUAGCGGCGGACGGGUGAGUAACACGUGGAUAACCUACCUGUAAGACUGGGAUAACUUCGGGAAACCGGAGCUAAUACCGGAUAAUAUAUUGAACCGCAUGGUUCAAUAGUGAAAGACGGUUUUGCUGUCACUUAUAGAUGGAUCCGCGCCGCAUUAGCUAGUUGGUAAGGUAACGGCUUACCAAGGCAACGAUGCGUAGCCGACCUGAGAGGGUGAUCGGCCACACUGGAACUGAGACACGGUCCAGACUCCUACGGGAGGCAGCAGUAGGGAAUCUUCCGCAAUGGGCGAAAGCCUGACGGAGCAACGCCGCGUGAGUGAUGAAGGUCUUCGGAUCGUAAAACUCUGUUAUUAGGGAAGAACAAAUGUGUAAGUAACUAUGCACGUCUUGACGGUACCUAAUCAGAAAGCCACGGCUAACUACGUG